GGAAGACCAGCCUGGCUGCCUCCCUGGAGCUCGGGGGAAGACACCCCACGCCACUCAGCCCACCUGACAGCACAGUGAAGGCGACAGGCUGCAAUAAGCGAGACAGAGAUCUACGAGAGAAACAACACCCCGCCACCGAGCGAGGGAGCGCCACGCGUCUCUCACGCAGGUGUGGCCGAAGCUGGGGAAGGAGGGAGGCAGCGAGCUCACCGCACGGCCGGCGGUGCAGGCGCACUUUGCAGACAAGCAUGGCGCUGCCUGCAAAAGCUCCGGCUCCAAGCCGCAUCAUUCCUCGGUUGGGUCAGUCUUCGCUGAGCCAGGAAAGGCAGCGAAGCCCAUGCAGAAGGGGGAACGUCGCAGGAAAAGACCCGAGCUGAGGAAAACCGAGACCACGCAGGGCCCCGAAGACGGCACGCAGGACCCACAUUGAACAAACACACUAGGCCUCCCUUCCUCUCCUUGGAAUAUAAAUGCCACACCAACUGUACGCCAACCAUCAUCCAUCAUCCACCGGAAAACAUAUGAACAAGUUCAUCUAAAAGGCUUAAAAUGUUACAUUUUGCAUUUUUGUCCUUAAAUUCUUAUUUCCAUUCUACCUUCCCCCACAGAAUUGUAUCCUACUGUAAAGCAUGCUUAGGUUUAAA